UAAGGUGGUUAUUGCGUCGGGGCUCACCUCUUCCCAUUCCGAACAGAGAAGUUAAGCCCGAUUGCGCAGAUGGUACUGCA
rnacentral:rRNA from 1 species